CUUCGACUCCCUCCGUUCGGAAUUACUUGUCGCAGAAAUGGAUGUAUUUAGACGUAUUUUAGUUCUAGAUACAUCCAUUUCCGAGACGGGUAAUUCCGAACGGAGGAAGUAUUUG
rfam:Triticum aestivum genome assembly, contig: Triticum_aestivum_CS42_TGACv1_scaffold_179193_2DS